GGUAGAGUGGCUGAAUAUCACAGGCAUUAGACUGUAAAUCUAAAUAUAAAGGUAUAAAUCCUUUCUCUAUCA
rnacentral:tRNA from 1 species